GGUAACAAAGAUUCCCCAGGGAACUAGGUGGAGGCACCAACAGGUUCUGCAAGGAGAGAAAAUAAGUGUUCCCUGAAUUUCUGUAUUCCUGAAAAAUCCUAGUGUCUUGAACAUGGAUACUGGUCUACUGUGAAGAUGAGAAGUUUUGCUUUUAUGUCCUCCAGGAAUAUUUGUUCUUUACAGCCUUGAUUGCCAAGCCUUUUGCUGCCAUUAAUAGGCAUUAGGUAUUAGCCUUUCUCAAAUUACAUUCAGGACCAAAAGCCUAUCAUAACUUUUGCCAAGAACAGAAAGAUUCAAGGUAAGAAGAAAUGAUAAUUGUAUCAACAAUAAAAAUAGUAUGUGUAUAG
rnacentral:lncRNA from 9 species